rnacentral:rRNA from 1 species
UACGUAGGGGGCAAGCGUUGUCCGGAUUUAUUGGGCGUAAAGAGCGUGUAGGCGGCCAAACAGGUCAGCUGUGAAAACUCGAGGCUCAACCUCGAGACGUCGGUUGAAACCGUAUGGCUAGAGUCCGGAAGAGGAGAGUGGAAUUCCCGGUGUAGCGGUGAAAUGCGCAGAUAUCGGGAAGAACACCCGUGGCGAAGGCGGCUCUCUGGGACGGUACUGACGCUGAGACGCGAAAGCGUGGGGAGCAAACAGG